rnacentral:rRNA from 1 species
UGGGGAAUAUUGGACAAUGGGCGAAAGCCUGAUCCAGCCAUGCCGCGUGUGUGAAGAAGGUCUUCGGAUUGUAAAGCACUUUAAGUUGGGAGGAAGGGCAUUAACCUAAUACGUUAGUGUUUUGACGUUACCGACAGAAUAAGCACCGGCUAACUCUGUGCCAGCAGCCGCGGUAAUACAGAGGGUGCAAGCGUUAAUCGGAAUUACUGGGCGUAAAGCGCGCGUAGGUGGUUCGUUAAGUGGGAUGUGAAAUCCCCGGGCUCAACCUGGGAACUGCAUUCAAAACUGACUGACUAGAGUAUGGUAGAGGGUGGUGGAAUUUCCUGUGUAGCGGUGAAAUGCGUAGAUAUAGGAAGGAACACCAGUGGCGAAGGCGACCACCUGGACUAAUACUGACACUGAGGUGCGAAAGCGUGGGGAGCAAACA